rnacentral:lncRNA from 1 species
GAUAAAGCUCAUGUCUAGACAGUAAGUGGCUUUGAGGGAGGACUUUGCAUGAAGCAGAAUGAAACCCUAUCCUUGUCACUGUAGUAAUAGUGAAGAAAGGACUGAUUGUCAAAUUCCAGAAAUUCUAAGCAAUAGUCAUUUGAUCCCAACUUCUUAGAAUUUUGCCCAGAUUUUCUUUUCUUGAGCUUGUUAUAAGCUCCAACAUGAAAUCUCUCUUUUCUGAGAUAUACAAUAACCAGAUUACCUUGCUGAAAUUCAACCUCUUUUCUGUGGAUAUCAGCAUGAGGCC